ACCCUUGUCACCUGGUCCAAGACCACCCUUCACCCUGCUCCCAUUGGAGUGUUUUCAGGUGAUCCCUGCUCUGUCCGUCAGUCCUGACUCUGCCUGCAGUCGGGUCUUGUGAUCCAUCCCAGCAGGAUGGGCAACCUCCUCCCCGUGAAGGCUCAGAGAGACAGCGAAGAAGAGAUGGAGGUGGACCCUCAGGCAGAUAUGGAUGAGAUGAUGGAUGUGGAUGUUGAAGAGAGAGUUGAAGAGAUGGAGGUGGAGAUGGAAGUUGAUGUGGAAGAGAUGGAAGUAGAUCAGGAAGAUGAGGUGGAAGACAUGAUCUUGGGAUAAGGACACAGCACCCUAUCAGCAGCAGGACUGACGGACCUGCCGGCCAUGGAAUUGGCCACUCUGUACAUA